CGCAUGACGACAUAAUAAUCGAACUUUUGAUUAACUUCGAUAAUUAAUUAUCGAAUCACUUUUGAUUUAUACUUCGACGAGUGAACAUCGAAGAUCCCUCAGGAUACCUUUCUUACUUAAAUUUUGAACCGGCGGUCAUUGACUACGCGACGACAACAGAAACAAACCUUCGAUAGACUUUCACAAUUAUUGAAUUAGUCUUGAUUUAUACUCCAACGAGUGAACAUCGAAGAGCCUUCAAGAUUUUUUAUUAGUAUCAACGAAGACUUAAAAACGUCAUUGUAAUCGCGUGCGUAGCAAUGAAGUAAUCGAGUAUUUGUAUCGCUAAAAUAAAAAUAUCGCGAAGUAGAAGCAGUGUUUAUUCGUUCGCGUUUCGCGAUUUAAAAAAUGUUUUCGUAUCGACUGCGUGCAAUGCAGUCCUUAGAGUCAGUAUUUGUUCGCGAAGUUUUUUGCUUUUUUAACAGUUGCACAGACUGUAUUUUUAAAAGAUAGUAAAGUUUCGCGAAGUAAAUUCAGUGACCGUCCGUUAAUAAAAUGCGAAUUAAAAUCAGUGCAUUAUUGAAGAAGAUCUUAAUCAACUUCCAUGUCGACUUAUCUCAUUUUUAACCAACUACGAAUCAUCCAUCCUCAAUUUUGAUCUAAAUCACGGACGUAUUACGCAGAACUUCUCAAGUAGUUAAAUGAUGGAGGAACCGAUUAUCAAGGAACUGAUUAUCGUGAAAUUAGAUUUUUUAAAAUAUUAAAUAUAGAUACGACCAAUCGUGUCCCGAGAUGUCUCCAUAUAUAACAAUUUCUACUUGAAUGAAGUCUGGGUCGGUACAACUCGCAAUAUAAGUUUCCAGCACUAUUGAGUUAAUAGUUACGUAUAAUCACCUUAUAUUUCUAAUAUUUGUACAAAUAAAUAGAUUAAUAUAUCAGAAUUCUGUAGACAAAUGUAUAUAAAGUAUAUACAUUUUAUGUGAUUAAAAUCAGGAUUUUGUCGAUUACUUGAUGUAAAAUAAUAAUUAUUGAUGAAUAUAUUUAUAUUAUAUUAUUACACAUUAUUUCUAUAAAAAUCAAAACUAGUUUU